GGGGCACGUUCCGUAGACCAGGCACACACGCGGAACAAUCUCUGCACCCCUCGAGGUCUUCCUUCCGAGCAGCAGCGUCGGCAAUCCAACCACCAUGAUCAAGAUCCUGAUCCUGCUUGCCCUGUUGGCUGUUUUCGCUGUCUCCUAUACUGUUGCGAAACCACAGUACAUCCUUCCGUACGCCUACCCGUACCACUACGGAUACUAUGGUGCCUACUACCCCCACUACUUCUAUGGGCGCUAAACUGGCGCCAAAGGGAUUGCAGCUACCAUUUGCGGUCAUUUCUUCGAAAGUAAAUGAAGUCUUCUAACCCAUAUCUGCACUGUCUCUGGAACUUCUCAUGAUCAUCCUCGAACCUAAGUUGUUCAAUUCGGCUGUCCUGCAGAGGCCAAAGAAGUCCUGCUUCCAAAGUUGACCGUUCUUGGAUCUUCCAUCAUGGUUCGCAAAUAAAGCUGUUCUAAGCAAAU